GUUAUUAAACUAGACUUUUGGAAGGCCUUCGGCUCGGUCUGCUGGACCUCCCUCCUCUAUACCUUGCAGACUCGAGGUUUCCCCGACCGCUGGUGUGACUGGAUCAACUCCCUCCUCUCCACUGGACUCAUGGCGGUCAUGCUAAAUGGUGUGCCGGGCCGCUGGAUCUAGUGCAAAAAUGGACUCCGUCAAGGUGACCCCCUCUCACCUUACCUCUUCAUCAUCUUGGCUGACAUCCUACAGCAGAUGAUCAUCAAGGCCAAUAUUGAUGGUCUCCCACUCCACCCCCUUAUCCCCCACAUCCCUUGCCCCGUUCUCCAAUACACGGACGACACGCUUAUCAUUGUGAAGGCCACUCCCACGGCCGCCCAACACCUUAAAACUAUUUUGGAUCAGUUCGCUGCUGCAACUAGAAUUAAGAUCAAUUUCGACAAAACCACCUUCAUCCCCCUCAACAUUGACCCUUCGGAUGCUAAAACUAUGGCCACUCAUCUAGCAACCAACAUCUCGUCCUUCCCCCAAACUUACCUCGGGCUCCCCCUCUCUCCUCACAAACUGCCCCUUCCCCCUUCCAACCAGUUAUUGAUCGCUGUGACAUGUACCUUGCUGGUUGGUGCGCGCUUCUCCUUUCUCGUGGCGGCAAACUUGUCCUAUUCUUUGCGGUCCUCGACAGCCUCCCCACCUACUUCAUGCUGUGUUUCUCCCUCCCUAUCCAGGUUCUGGAAGCUAUAG
rnacentral:rRNA from 1 species